GCAGAGGUCGCGUGCAACGGACAGGCCAGGCGCGAGGUGAGUAGAAGAGUAGGUGAGUGGUGUUCAAGACUGCAGAAAAAACCAUAGCCUAAUUUAACAUGAGACGAAAGUCUGUUCUUUGUACCUGUGUCUAUUUGUAUCAUUAGUGACUUAAAUAUUCGAUCAAAACUGAAUAAGUGACCAAAACAGAGCGUUCUCUUGGUUAAGCCUCUAAGUGUACAAUUGUGUGUUCUCGAAAAGUGUUUAAAAAAAGGAAAGUGUGUUUUGACAACUUGCCCAUCUAUUACAAACUUCUGAUCAGGCGUAGUCCAAACGUCCAUAAGGGGGCAGCAUUGUAUGUGUUUCGGUCCAGUAGUUAUCAUAUUACGUUCGUUGUCUCCUCAGCACCGUGACGCCGCUCCGGUUCCAGAAUCCUCCACGAGGGGUCCCCAACGUUAAGUCAUCCUCGGCCGUGAGGGGAAAGAUGAGCAGUCCAAGCAGCCCUUCGUUCAUUCACAAACUCAAAGCCAUCCACGCAGUGGUGAUGAGGAUGCUGUUAAUCCAGCACAACCUCAGCAGGGGACUUUCCCGCAAGAAGCCCUCGGAACAUUCAGCUUCCAGGAUUCCGGAAAAUUCAGCAUUCAGAAUUCCGUGCCCUCUCCCAGCUCUGGGGUGAGGUCUCUUGAUCUGUCAUUUUCUCUCUCUCCCUCUCUCUCACUCUCUCCCUCUCUCUCUCUCUCUCUCCCCCUCACUCCCUCUCUCUCUCUCUCUCUCUCUCUCUCUCUCUCUCUCUCUCUCUCUCUCUCUCUCUCUCUCUCUCUCUCUCUCUCUCUCUCUCUCUCUCUCUCUCUCCCUCUCUCUCUCUCUCUCUCUCUCUCUCUCUCUCUCUCUCUCCCCCUCACUCCCUCUCCCUCUCUCUCCCUGCGGAGGAACAGGAACACCUUCUCAUGGCAGAGGUAAGGCACUGGCAGAGGCUAACCACUGGGAACCACUUCAACCAGCACGGACUGAAUCACAGAAAAAGCAGGCCACUUCCCCGGAACUCUGGCCGCAUAUUAAAGGUCUAUUAAAGUGUAUUUUAGCUGAGUUAGACCUGCCGAUGUCAGGGUCAAGUGAGGACAGAGAAUAAGGUUGUGUUAUUUUCCCUCAUGGUCAUUUCUAUCAUGUGGUUGAGCGUUUCAAGCAGAAUCACAUAUGUGCUAUUUCGAGUUACACUGAACCAGCAAAAUUAAAACUUCAAAUCAUAUUUUUUGUUAAAAUUGGUAAAUUAUCAUUUAUUUUAAUAAGUGUAAAAUUGCUUAUGAAACAUUUCAACCUAGUUUCAACAAGCGAUGUUGG
rnacentral:lncRNA from 1 species